CUGCAGCCCGAGUGGUGAUCGAUUUUAUUGAGCCUAAAGCGUCCGUAGCCGGACUAGUAAACCCUUGGGUAAAUUGGGCAGCUUAACUGUCCGAAUUCCGAGGGGACUGCUAGUCUUGGGACCGGGAGAGGUCAGAGGUACUCAAGAGGUAGGGGCUAAAUCCUGUAAUCCUUUGGGGACCACCAGUGGCGAAGGCGUCUGACUAGAACGGAUCCGACGGUAAGGGACGAAACCCUGGGGCGCGAACCGGAUUAGAUACCCGAGUAGUCC
rnacentral:rRNA from 1 species